GACGAACGCUGGCGGCGUGCUUAACACAUGCAAGUCGAACGGAAAGGCCCUGCUUUUGUGGGGUGCUCGAGUGGCGAACGGGUGAGUAACACGUGAGUAACCUGCCCUUGACUUUGGGAUAACUUCAGGAAACUGGGGCUAAUACCGGAUAGGAGCUCCUGCUGCAUGGUGGGGGUUGGAAAGUUUCGGCGGUUGGGGAUGGACUCGCGGCUUAUCAGCUUGUUGGUGGGGUAGUGGCUUACCAAGGCUUUGACGGGCAGCCGGCCUGAGAGGGUGACCGGCCACAUUGGGACUGAGAUACGGCCCAGACUCCUACGGGAGGCAGCAGUGGGGAAUAUUGCACAAUGGGCGGAAGCCUGAUGCAGCAACGCCGCGUGCGGGAUGACGGCCUUCGGGUUGUAAACCGCUUUCGCCUGUGACGAAGCGUGAGUGACGGUAAUGGGUAAAGAGGCACCGGCUAACUACGU
rnacentral:rRNA from 1 species